ensembl:lncRNA
GUGGGUUUGAGCAGGAUGUGGAGUUUGGGGAUACGGGGCGUCUCGGUGACUGUCAUGGUGAGAUGAUCUGUUUCUGUUUUUUCUCAUUAUACACACACUCACACACACACACUCUCUCUCUCACACACACACACACACACACACACACACACACACACAGGAGGAAUAUGUUUCCGGUGAUUUAUUUCAUUUCUAGUCGUCUGUCUGAGCGAUAGAGUUUUCAGUUUUGAUUUGAUUUUAUUUUCAGCUGAUUUUCUUGUUCCUUUAAUUCCUGUAGAGUUUUUGGCUACAGCUUCAGCACCAGGUUUCAAAUCAUAUGGCGACGCAACUUCUGGUUAGUUUCCUUUUUACUCAAACGAUUUCCUUUCCUUCGGUUCAGCGUUUCUCUUUCACCAUCUUCAUCACCAUCAGUCUUCAUCACCAUCAGUCUUCAUCACUAUCAGUCUUCAUCAUCAAGAUUAAUCCGUCUCUAAACAAUCGUUUUCAUCUUCGUCUCGUCUGCAUGUUUACAGUAGACAUGUGCUGAAAAUCUCUUGUUCACUCUCAUGUUAUUAUCACACACACACACAUACACACACGUUAUAACGUUAAAUUAUUGUGUUUGUGACUCAGUAUCAGCAGAUUAAUAUUAAUGAGCGUUAUGAAGGAGGUAAAUGAACACUCGGUUUGUUGUAGGUUUCAGGUGUUUGCUUCUGAUGAUUUAUUAUCAUUCAGGUUUCAGGUGUUCGGUGGUGAUGAGUCAUUAUCAUUCAGGUUUCAGGUGUUCGGUGGUGAUGAGUCAUUAUCAUUCAGGUUUCAGGUGUUCGGUGGUGAUGAGUCAUUAUCAUUCAGGUUUCAGGUGUUCGGUGGUGAUGAGUCAUUAUCAUUCAGGUUUCAGGUGUUUGGUGGUGAUGAGUCAUUAUCAUUCAGGUUUCAGGUGUUUGGUUCUGAUGAGUCAUUAUCAUUCAGCGUUCACCUCGACACUGAACACCGCUACAGGAAGUGAAGAGAGGCUUUUUCUCACCGCACUGUUCUUGGUGUUCAGUAUAAAUGUGCUGGUAGUUAAUUAGAUGUGUUGGUGAGUGUGAUGUUGAGAAGUUUAUACUAAUCACUGUAUGGAAGUUUUAUAUCAGCACUUGUCUAAUGAACAGAUGAGUGUUUCUCAUGUUUCUCAUGUUUCUCAUGUUUCUCAUGUUUCAGCCUGAAAUUUUACCACAAUAUCAUUCCUUCAUUUUUCACUAACACAGUGUCACACUCAUUUAUUCAUUCAUUCACUCAUUUAUUUAUUUAUUUACUUAUUUAUUUAUUUUUGCUUAGUUUUUCAAUCAGAAUGUUUUUUAUUGUUGAUGAAGUUUGGAGUUUACAGUUUGGGGUGAAGCAGAAAAUACAGGACGCGGUCAAACGCUGAUGCACUAACGCUUCUGUACGUUCACGUUUAUAUACGCGUACGCAAGACUGAGUGUGUAUCCUCACUGUACAGUCUACAGCAACGCUCUACACAACAACACUACACAACACGCUCUACACAACAACACUACACAACAACACUACACAACAACGCUCUACACAACAACACUAUACAACAACACUACACAACACGCUCUACACAACAACACUAUACAACAACACUACACAACAACACUACACAACACGCUCUACACAACAACACUAUACAACAACACUACACAACAACACUACACAACACGCUCUACACAACAACACUACACAACAC